UAAUGAUUCUGAAUUUCCUUUGCC
rnacentral:siRNA from 1 species